rnacentral:rRNA from 1 species
GAACGCAAGUUGCGCCCGAGGCCACUAGGUCGAGGGCACGUCUGCCUGGGCGUCACAC